ACAUAAGAAAAACAGAGGAAAAGAAAAGGAAAAAGGAGAGGAGAAAGGGAAGAAGUGAAAGGGAGGGUUUGUGCGCGUGGGUCCUCGCCGAGCCGUUCCGACUACGUAACGCAACGACUAGAUUUUGGAACCGUCGGCUCGAGUAACACAUAUGGGUUAGUUUUUGGAUUACCAGGUUCUUCUGCUGGCCGCAAGUAGGGCAUGAGCGGGCGUUAGUCGGAGGAUUUCUUUUUGAUUGUGGGAUUUUGGGUACGUUGUACAUAGUGACGUUGAGCUAUUGGAAUAGCUUUUUGUUGGAUUUGUAUAUAUCCUUUUGAUGGUUUUAGAAAGCUCUGAUGUUAUUCGGGUUUUGUUUAAGUUGAGGCUGCGUCCUUUGGGUGAAAGGACGGCCGUGUUAUGAUCCCGUUUUGGUUGUGGUCGGGGUGUGACAUUUGUUGGUAUCAGAGCGUAGGUUAUGAUUUUUGGGUGGGACGUUGUGAGAUUGUGUGAUAGACUUUAAUGCGUUAGUUUUAGAUACUAAGGUGUAUUCUUGAUUCUGGAUUUAGGUAAUUAUGAGUUCCGACUCGGAGCCACUCAUCUCUUUUCGUAAGAAUAAUAAGGGAAAGAGAGCCAUUACCUUCGACUCGAGAGAUGUGCCUCGAGGUCCGAGAGUAAGGUCUCCGACAAGAAGGCGAGAUGACGUAGGAGCAGACUCGCAAGAAAUAAGAGGGAAAAGUCAAUAGCCAAAGGCCCAAGACGUUGUAGUUGAAACUGGUGAACCUGGGAGUGGCAGAGGCUACACCUUUGCCCAGUUU